CUUUCCUCUCUAUUUCUUCCUUCUCUCUUUCCUCUAUGUUGUCCGACCCUUCACGCGCAUCGCCAGCGCUAUUUCCUCUAUGCUACUUGCUCUCCCUCAGCUCUUCUCUUUCUCCCUCUAGUGAAGAACGCAAAUCUUUGGAUCGAACAGACCCCCUGCUACCUCAACCCCAUUCAACACGAGUUCUUCCAGUGGUAUGGUGAAAAGGAAAUAUUAUGGUUCAAAUAAGAACCUUGAUAGGUUCUGAUCAAACAACCAGUGAGGAGGAUAACUAUGGGAACAAUUUCAUCUUUGUCGCAAACAGUAUCGAUGUUGAGUUGUGCUGCCCAAUUAACUAGCGAGAGUCAUCAAGAAGUGUAUGGAAUGAGCAAAGGAAGCCUUACGGUCAUAAUGACCAAUCAGGCUAUAUCAUACCCGUAUGCUGAUUCAUACUAUGGUGGUGCAGUGGCAGCUUAUGGGCAUAAGGGCAGCAUGCUAUUGUGUACCGUGAUGCAGUCAAGCCCAUAAUUCUAAUUAUAUUUCAGAGAAGGAAAUCAACAUGUUUUGCUUAUGGCCAAACAGUUUGUUCUUACAGGCAUAUAGCAAGCUUAUCUUAUACAUUAUAUUUUUACGCAUAAAUGAAUUGUGGUUUGUGAUAGUUUCUGCUGAUCAUGUCAAUAUCAUAUUGUGACCCUUUUUUGUCAUUAGUAUACUGGAAUUUAUCAACUACUUUGUGAGAGAAUACAGUGUUAUCCUUCCUAAAAGAUCGGAUAAUAAUAUGUCUAUUGAAAAUGCUAACAGUUGCAUUUUUUAUUCCAUUACCGAAUAUAAUCAACCUUUUUUACGUGCCAAUUACAGAGGUUAGCAAAUAUUAACCGACUUAUGAUCAGAAUUUUUUUAGGCCAUUUAUGAUCAUAGUUUGAGUCAUUCGCUUCUUAUCUUUUCAUUUGCAAACUAUUCAAAUUGCAACUGUGGGGAUAAUGUCGUUCCAUAGGUGAGGUUUGUGAAACCUGUUUCAACAAUGCUCUUUUAAUGAUACUAUACUACAAGAUAAGUGGAUCUUCAACAAACAGCCAAGAAGGUAAAUUCUCUUUCCGAUUGUUGUCUAUAGCAGCUCAUCCUCUAGCUGCUGCUACUCCAACAAAGUUCUAUAGUAAUAGUGUAGAACAUGAAUGAACUUAAUACCAGUUAAAAAAACACGUCAAUGUUGGUUCAGAUUAUGAAUCUUCAUAAACAUUCCCUCUUCAUCGAUUGUAGUAUCCUAUAAACGUUAUAGUAACAUGUGAAUUUGCAAGAUUUAGUUGUUUCAAUAGAUUAAUUUAUAUAACAUACUAAACCUCAGUUUAAGGUGACAAAUUUUGUACUAAUAACAUCCAGAAUGUCUAACUGAAAUUUCUUUAGUGGAUACAGCUUGGUCCCUUUUAUUUGUAAUACCCGAAGCUUCAUCAGAUGGUCAUGACAAUGGAAUGACAAGGGGCUCAUGCGAGAAAUGUGUACAUACCUCAAUUUGAGGUGUUCGCAUCCAUUGGCAUUGAAGAGAAGGCUUGAUAAUGGCUUCUAUUUGUAUUAACAUUUAAGUCAUUCCAAGCUUUUCCAUUUGUUAUUGUAAUAUAGUACAAGCAGCUGCUCCUGCAAUUAUUUGUUUGCGGUAUUAAUUGUAAUUAGUAACAAAUCUGAGUGAUAUUUUAGACUAUAGAAUUUAGGCGUUCAUUUGCUCCCUUUAGUUUUUUGUCAUUGAUUCU